GCUCCACGCAUCCCUCGUGCCGUCCAGCUGGCGGGUGGACCCGCCUCGCCAGGAUUCCAUCCCGAGCCGGAAUCGCCUGAAGCGCUCACACCAGGGAUUCUUCUUUUCUCCCGCGAGAAGGAGCACCCAGGAACCGAUUCCCACUAUCCCGAUUCUUUAUCCUGCCAAGAUUGGAUCUGUCGCCGGAGCCAGCACCACAGCAGUUUCGCCGGAGCCGCCGCUUGAGACCACCGCCGUCCACCUAACCCUCACUGUCGUCUUCGUCGGAGCAGCACCGCAGGAAGGCCGCCGUCAACCACCGGAGAAACCCCGCAGCCACCGCAGAGGAGCCACACCGAGCCGCUGCCCUGUUUUCCUCUGCUCGUGGUGAGCAUGCACGCACGAUCUGCUUCGAUUGCCCGGAGUGCGACGCAAACUAUUUGAGGAGUGUGACCUUUUGAUCAAGAAUCAAGGCAACUUACAUGAUAUUCAGACGAGGAGUAAGGUACCGUUAGGGUCGCGAGU